CGUGCAGGCGGUGUAUUUAAGCAGGAUGUGAAAGGCUACGGCUCAACCGUAGACAUGCACCCUGAACUGGGUCACUUGAGUAUUGGAGAGGCAGGCAGAAUUCCUGGUGUAGCGGUGAAAUGCGUAGAUAUCAGGAGGAAUACCGGAGGCGAAGGCGGCCUGCUGGACAAAUACUGACGCUGAGGCGCGAAAGCGUGGGAGCAAACA
rnacentral:rRNA from 1 species